CGAAUUGGGUACCGAUACUUGAAGAAAGUGAUUUUCGAAUUGUGUUUCGAUCCUUGAUUUGAUUGGGGGGGCAUGGACAGAUCGCUGAAAGGUUUGGCUAUAUCCUUGGAUGCAGGCAUUUAACGGGGGAUGCCAGCAUCGCUUCAUUUCGAAACGUGGGAGAAAAAUGAAGAAAAUUCAUACUCCAUGCUCGUUAAAUCUUGCUCGUGACUCAUGCUGUAGAUGUAGUAGUGUGCAAUCUGCUUCUUUCAUUUCACAAGGAGCAAAAUGCCUGCACAAUCUGAUGAUUCUGGAAUACUCUCAUAGAUGAAUUGAUGAAAUGUUCCUCUCUGGACAAUGGCUUCUGGUUGCUUCCCUUAAUAUUUAACUCAUCUGUUCCCAUGGAAUCGGAGGGUCUGAUAUAGAUCUGCACAGCAAAUCAAGGGCGAUAUCUAGACCUGUUGAGCACCCGUCUGAACUUAGAAGGAGGAAUUACCAUGGGUCAAGUACCGGUCACGCUCCAGGGGAGGAUAGUGAAGGUGGUUUUAUUGUUGGCAUUUGACAACAAUUGACGUUCUUUGUUUGGUGUUCAGCCAUUCUGCAGAGAUUCUCAGACUAGGCAAGAAUGGCGCAGAUUUUGGCACAGACGACAAAAUGCCAGAUGAGGAUCACAAAAAACUCAGUGACUGCCAGUCCCCUCACAGCAAAAACAUGGAAUUCUCUCUUGCUAAAACA